UACGUAGGGUGCGAGCGUUAAUCGGAAUUACUGGGCGUAAAGCGUGCGCAGGCGGUUUUGUAAGCCAGAUGUGAAAUCCCCGGGCUCAACCUGGGAAUGGCAUUUGGGACUGCAAGGCUUGAGUGCGGCAGAGGAGACUGGAAUUCCUGGUGUAGCAGUGAAAUGCGUAGAUAUCAGGAGGAAUACCGAUGGCGAAGGCAGGUCUCUGGGCUGACACUGACGCUCAUGCACGAAAGCGUGGGGAGCAAACGGG
rnacentral:rRNA from 1 species